UUCUAAGUUUCUGCUUCCUACUGAGGAAGGUCUGUUGUGGAAAGCACUCUCUGUGGUGCCUCAGCAAAACCUGACUGACAGAGAAGAUCAGCACUUGUCCCCAAAAUAUGCUUGACUCAGUGCGUCAAUCAGCUUGCAGAGACGGUGAAAUAAAAAUUUCAUUUGGUGGAUAACAAACAAAGAAACAGACAAACCAAAACACCAGUAAGAGUUUGGAGAAGAGAGGAAGACAGAGAGAAGGUGAGGUGAAGUGUGGGCAGCGUCAGCCUGGAACCACCCUGGGAGACCAGCUAAUGCCACGGGGGAAUCAC